rnacentral:rRNA from 1 species
UUGAACGCUGGCGGCAUGCCUUACACAUGCAAGUCGAACGGCAGCAUGACCUAGCUUGCUCGAUUGAUGGCGAGUGGCGAACGGGUGAGUAAUACAUCGGAACGUGCCCUGUAGUGGGGGAUAACUAGUCGAAAGAUUAGCUAAUACCGCAUACGACCUGAGGGUGAAAGUGGGGGACCGCAAGGCCUCAUGCUAUAGGAGCGGCCGAUGUCUGAUUAGCUAGUUGGUGGGGUAAAGGCCCACCAAGGCGACGAUCAGUAGCUGGUCUGAGAGGACGAUCAGCCACACUGGGACUGAGACACGGCCCAGACUCCUACGGGAGGCAGCAGUGGGGAAUUUUGGACAAUGGGGGCAACCCUGAUCCAGCAAUGCCGCGUGUGUGAAGAAGGCCUUCGGGUUGUAAAGCACUUUUGUCCGGAAAGAAAUCGCACUUACUAAUAUUAGGUGUGGAUGACGGUACCGGAAGAAUAAGGACCGGCUAACUACGUG